GUUUAUUUUGGCACAGUUUACAGAGGAUUCAGUCCAUACUAGGGUGGCUCCAAGGCAGGGCAGCACGAUAGAGGGGCCUGGCACAGGACAAAGAGUUGCUGGUGUGGCAGGCAGGAAUCAGAGCAGGGAUCAAGAGAGGAGGAAGGACACACACCUUCCAGCCACGCCCACAGUAACCCACCUCUUCCCACCAGCUUCACCUUUCCACAUUACUCCCAGCUAUAAACCCAUCGUAGACCAGCAGCACACCCAUGACCUAGUCACCUCCCAAAAGCCCCACCUAUGAGUGCAUGAGGCUUUGGGAGGACAUCUAAAUACAAUCCCUAACACUGCUCUAGGCUACAUUCCAAGGCAAGAAAAGAGCUUUCAGGGGUCAGCGUGCUCACAGCCCCCUCUCUGCUGACUUGCUGAAAUUGGCUCAAACAUAAAAUACACUUGUAAAGGUUGGAUUUCUACAACGAAGUGGAUCACCUGCCACAUUAGUCUCUUCUUCUAACUAAUCUUUCAUCUGCAAAGUGUUAGAAGAUACGUAUUAGCCUCUGUUUUUAGGAGAUUACAGUGUGCAGUUUAAGCGGCUGAUUAUUUCACUAUGGGUCCAAUCAUUUUGCUCUGACUUUAGGGGGCACUUUGAUCUAGAAGAUUGCCUGAAAUGGUCGUUGUUGUCUCAUGUGAUAUUUUGUGUUUUCUUGUUGAACAGCAAAUAUGCCAGAGGAUUAUCCAGAUCAGUUUGAUGAUGUCAUGGAUUUUAUUCAAGCCACCAUUAAAAGACUGAAAAGGUCACCAGAUAAACAAAUGGCAGUGCUUCCUAGAAGAGAGAGGAAUCGGCAGGCUGCAGCUGCCAACCCAGAGAAUUCCAGAGGAAAAGGUCGAAGAGGCCAGAGGGGCAAAAAUCGAGGCUGUGUCUUAACAGCAAUACAUUUAAAUGUCACUGACUUGGGUUUGGGCUAUGAAACCAAGGAAGAACUGAUUUUUCGGUACUGCAGCGGCUCUUGCGAUGCAGCGGAGACAAUGUAUGACAAAAUACUAAAAAACUUAUCCAGAAGUAGAAGGCUAGUGAGUGACAAAGUAGGGCAGGCCUGUUGCAGACCCAUUGCCUUUGAUGACGAUCUGUCAUUUUUAGAUGAUAACCUGGUUUACCAUAUUCUAAGAAAGCAUUCCGCUAAAAGGUGUGGAUGUAUCUGACUCCAGUUCCAGAGACUGCUGUGUAUUGCAUUCCUGCUACAGUGCAAAGAAAGGGACCAAGGUUCCCAGGAAAUGUUUGCCCAGAAGGGAAGAUGAGGACCAAGGAGGCAGAGGUGGAGGAGGAAGAGAAGGAGGAAGGCAGCCAUUGUGGGAGCCUGGUAGAGGGAGAUCCAGCUACAGAAAACUGGAUGGGAGAGAGAAAACAGCCAUCUGGGUUCUCCAGGACAGCAGCUAGUGUCUCCAGAAGGUCAGGGCUGGUGUCCCUGGUUGGCUGUUUACAUCAUUUCUUCUGAUACAGUCCACCAUCACCAACCACAGUCACAGUUGCGGAUGCACUCAAAGAACCAAACCAGUGUAUCUCCUGUGGUUCGUUUUCACGUCUGAGCGCACCAGGGGAGCAAUGAGCCUGGUGUCACUCCUUGUCAUUACGUUCUACUGCUGAAAGAAACAGGAAGUGUUCAACAGCAUUCUCCUAGGAGUGCAAGCAGGGAAGGCCCCAGCUGCCCCAGGCCAGGGAGACCCACCCCGGGGCCUUCAGUUUACAGAGAGACAGAUGUUACAUACCCAGCUCCAUUUAUGCAUGGUCACCAGUGACCAGAGAAGCUACUCGAUGCAAUGCAUCUGUUUCAGAUACAGAAAUAUAGAGAAGAUAUUUAUUGAGAUUUAAGUUAUUGUUAUUUAUUACCAUUCACUAAUGAAUUUCUCUUUUUUCCCUUAUUUAUUAAAGUUUCUUUUCAAAGGUGCCAAAGUAUAUAUGCUCGCAAAAUGCAAAGAAAGGAGACAAAAGGACAUUUUAAUUGGGAACAAGGGUCCAUGCUUUUCAAAGUAUUCAAAAGGUUUUCUCUAGGCAAAAAUCACUUACUUUACCUUUUUUUUUAAUUCCUCAUCAAUUUCCCCCGAUUUCAGUCUUUCUCCCCGUUUGUAUUUUUGUCUAAGCAUGUCCGAAGGAGCACCUACAGGUCAGCCCCCUUUCCGGGAGCACUGUGCAGAGACCAUUGGCACUUAGCUUCAUUUCUUCACUGCUCCUGCACUGAACAGAUGUGCCGUAUGCUCCACUCUCUGUUGUAUUUAAGCUCUUCUUCCCCUCCACAUGUAUC